rnacentral:lncRNA from 1 species
AGGUUUGUUGCGCAGAGCACCCUGAUUGAUUGAUUGAUUGAUUUAUGCAUGAGCAUGAGUCCUCAUCGAUGUAAAUUAAUGAAAUUGUGAUCGGUGUUUUAAUGUGUCUAUACAUGUACAAAUUUGAACUAAAAAACGUUGGCCCAGAGCCCAGUUACUGGGUUUCUAUUUUAAUAUGGAUUUCUCUUAAUUUAUUUGUAAAAUUUUUGGGGGUUUUCAAAAUUAGGGUUUCUGAUUUGUGGUGUUGUAAUGGGUUAAAUUUUUAACGAAGUCCCAGUUAUAAGUGGGUUGCAUGCGAUAUGGGUUUUGUUGGUCGAUUUGUAACGAGUUCAAAACCUAAAAGCUAAAUUCAAUUUUCAAAUAUAGUUUACUAUUAUCAUGUGUUUAUGAAUGUGUCUUUGGUGUAGGGGUGUAGUUGCAGGGUUAGUAGGGUAUAUCAGGUUAGCUAUGUAGGUAAAAUUAUUUUGGAAAGUUAAGCUUAAUGAAAAACAUGAAAAGUGUAAAGCCUAGUGAUCAAAUUUACAGAUAGUGGGAUUGAUUCAGAGUAGAUUCCGAGGGUUUUGGUAUGCGAGUGGUGUGCAGAAUUGUUAUCCGAAAAAACUCGAUAGUUGGUUUCUGUAUCUUUAAGCAUGAGUCUCUGUUCCAAAGCUACCUGUUAUUUAUAGGUGGGAGUGGUGAGAGAAGCAUGUUUAUGUUGGUUGGUUUCUUAAGUGAUGCAGUUAGGUUUAAUAGGACUCAGAACACUUGGAUAGAAUGUGAUUCUGAGGAUUUUAGAUGUGUGUCGGUUGAUUUUUUUAGUUAAGUGUGCUGAACUGGUACAUGAUGAUUUUAUCAGGUCCCAGUCGAAAAAAAAUCGGUGUAUGGCAAAUAAUCGCGUAGGCUGUAAUGUGUUUGGUGUUUUUCGUAUAUUUUUUGUGAUUGUGGUGUGUGUUUACUUGAAUUGAAGUUAUUCUUGUGGUUUUGUGUCUUACUGAGUAGAUGAAAGUGGCUGCUGAGAUUGAAUUUUUGUUUUUAAAAAAAUCAUCUUUUGUUGAAAUGAAUCUUUAAAGGGCCUUCGUUUUUCUAAAUUUUUCCCAAAAACAUUUUUUAAAAUAAAGAAAUUCUGGUGGUUUUUAUGUUUUCUAAUUUAAAGAGGUUUGAUUUGAUAGUAUAAGGUCACUGUGAUCACACUGUGUUCUGUCACGAUGCAUGAUGAUCACAUGACUUCUAGAUUCUUGAUUUUUCAUGUACCUGAGGUAUCUGUUAAUGUUCGUCCGGCCACAUCGCAUUUGACUCUUGUCUGGAAUCAAAAAAUCUAAAAUUGUUAUUUUGGUCCCUCUAAAG